GGCAGAGAGGUGUUGGAGAUGAAGCUGGAGAAAUAGUGGGGACCUUAAAUGUUGUGCUGAGAAUCUUGAAUUUAAUUCUUCAGAAGCACCAGAUCAAGAGCAUGCAGAUUUUGGACAGAGAUGUAAUUUACAUUUUUGAGAAAUCAGGUUAGCAGGGAAGACUGUUUUUUGAGAGUACAAGCCUAGAAGCUGGGUGAUCAGUUAAGGAAAUAUUGUAAUAAAUCAGAAACCCAAGGUAAAGAAGAUGAUGACAGAACUUAGAUGGCAGCUCUCCCCAAACUGGGCUUCCCUGGUGGCUCAGUGGUAAAGAAUCUGCCUGCCAAUGCAGAUUUGAUCACUAGGUCAGGAAGAUCCUCUGAAGAAGGAAAUGGCAAGCCACUCCAGUAUUCUUGUCUGAGAAGUCCCAUGAACAGAGGAGCCUGGCAGGCCACAGUCCAUGGGGUGACAAAGAGAUGUGACUUAGCAACUGAGCAAAACAACUCUCCAACUCAGAUGAUCUGAAGCAGCUGUACAGAAAGUCUACUGAUAAGGCAUGUGCACACACAUUCAGUAAAUAUUACAUAAAUAGAUCUAACCAAAUAUCAGCACAAACCUUUUAGGUGUUUACUUAGCCUUUCUUCCUCUUGUGUGUCAUCACAAUCUUUUUCCUUGACCACAUUUUUUCCCUUAAUCAUUUCCUUCUGGUCUAUUCAAUGUCAGAAAUUAUUUUAUGUAGCUAGAAGCUUCUCACAAAAAUCUCCAUGUCCCAUUUUGAGAAACUGGCCUCAAGCCAUUUCCUGCUUUGGUCAUUAAAAAAAAAUAAUAGCUGUUAUUUGCAGAGUAAUCAGAAUUCCAUCAAGAAAUGCGGUGUACAUUAAAUCUAAGUCAUGUUAUUGUUAUGAUUGCUAGUAUUAGAAUAACAAGGUGGUGACCUUGUUCAUCUCUAAAACAUUGGAUACUGUUUAGUGAAGUUAUAAUAAAUGAGAGGCUGGACUUUCAGAAAUCCAAGGUUGAACUAUGUACCCUGUGGAUGCUCCUUAAAUAGUUAUUUGAUGACUAAUCGGUUAUUUCAUGGGCCUUAACAUAGACGAGAUGAUGCCAGAGCAGGCAGAGUUGAAGAAGUGAGCUCA
ensembl:lncRNA